rnacentral:rRNA from 1 species
AGUGAACGCUGGCGGUAGGCCUAACACAUGCAAGUCGAACGGCAGCACAGUAAGAGCUUGCUCUUACGGGUGGCGAGUGGCGGACGGGUGAGGAAUACAUCGGAAUCUACUUUUUCGUGGGGGAUAACGUAGGGAAACUUACGCUAAUACCGCAUACGACCUACGGGUGAAAGCAGGGGAUCUUCGGACCUUGCGCGAUUGAAUGAGCCGAUGUCGGAUUAGCUAGUUGGCGGGGUAAAGGCCCACCAAGGCGACGAUCCGUAGCUGGUCUGAGAGGAUGAUCAGCCACACUGGAACUGAGACACGGUCCAGACUCCUACGGGAGGCAGCAGUGGGGAAUAUUGGACAAAGGGCGCAAGCCUGAUCCAGCCAUACCGCGUGGGUGAAGAAGGCCUUCGGGUUGUAAAGCCCUUUUGGUGGGAAAGAAAAGCAGCAGGUUAAUACCCCGCUGUUCUGACGGUACUCAAAGAAUAAGCACCGGCUAACUUCGUG